rnacentral:rRNA from 2 species
ACACAUGCAAGUCGAACGAUGAACCUCACUUGUGGGGGGAUUAGUGGCGAACGGGUGAGUAACACGUGAGUAACCUGCCCUUGACUCUGGGAUAAGCCUGGGAAACCGGGUCUAAUACUGGAUACGACCUUCUGGCGCAUGCCAUGUUGGUGGAAAGCUUUUGUGGUUUUGGAUGGACUCGCGGCCUAUCAGCUUGUUGGUGGGGUAAUGGCCUACCAAGGCGACGACGGGUAGCCGGCCUGAGAGGGUGACCGGCCACACUGGGACUGAGACACGGCCCAGACUCCUACGGGAGGCAGCAGUGGGGAAUAUUGCACAAUGGGCGCAAGCCUGAUGCAGCGACGCCGCGUGAGGGAUGAAGGCCUUCGGGUUGUAAACCUCUUUCAGUAGGGAAGAAGCCUGUCUUUUGGGUGGGUGACGGUACCUGCAGAAGAAGCGCCGGCUAACUACGUGCCAGCAGCCGCGGUAAUACGUAGGGCGCAAGCGUUAUCCGGAAUUAUUGGGCGUAAAGAGCUCGUAGGCGGUUUGUCGCGUCUGCCGUGAAAGUCCGGGGCUUAACUCCGGAUCUGCGGUGGGUACGGGCAGACUAGAGUGCAGUAGGGGAGACUGGAAUUCCUGGUGUAGCGGUGAAAUGCGCAGAUAUCAGGAGGAACACCGAUGGCGAAGGCAGGUCUCUGGGCUGUAACUGACGCUGAGGAGCGAAAGCAUGGGGAGCGAACAGGAUUAGAUACCCUGGUAGUCCAUGCCGUAAACGUUGGGCACUAGGUGUGGGGG